rnacentral:misc_RNA from 1 species
UACUCUCACACUCUCUGAUCCUUUGGAUUCAGGGAGUGGUGGACUUUGGGUGUUUGCCGCUUUCCUUGUGGCUCACCUCAAAUGCGUCAGUGCACCUCUUGGUUGGACAUAGUACGGCGUGAUAAGUAUCUUCGCCGGCACCUCGUGAGAGGGUGGCCGAUCGGGAGCUCUGUGCUUUCAAACUGUCUUCGGACAAUCUCUGACA